rnacentral:tRNA from 1 species
GGUUGUGGCUCAGUGGUAGAGCGCUUGCCUAGCAUGCACAAGGCACUGGGUUUGAUCCUCAGCACCA